rnacentral:rRNA from 1 species
CCUACGGGCGGCAGCAGUGAGGAAUAUUGGUCAAUGGACGAGAGUCUGAACCAGCCAAGUAGCGUGAAGGAUGACUGCCCUAUGGGUUGUAAACUUCUUUUAUAAAGGAAUAAAACGAGGCACGUGUGCCUUUUUGCAUGUACUUUAUGAAUAAGGACCGGCUAACUCCGUGCCAGCAGCCGCGGUAAUACGGAGGAUCCGAGCGUUAUCCGGAUUUAUUGGGUUUAAAGGGAGCGUAGAUGGGUUGGUAAGUCAGUUGUGAAAGUUUGCGGCUCAACCGUAAAAUUGCAAUUGAUACUGGCAGGCUGGAGUGCAGUUGAGGUAAGCGGAAUUCGUGGUGUAGCGGUGAAAUGCUUAGAUAUCACGAAGAACCCCGAUUGCGAAGGCAGCUUACUAAACUGUAACUGACAUUGAUGCUCGAAAGUGUGGGUAUCAAACAGGAUUAGAUACCCCUGUAGUC